CCUACGGGCGGCAGCAGUGGGGAAUAUUGGACAAUGGGCGAAAGCCUGAUCCAGCCAUGCCGCGUGUGUGAAGAAGGCCUUCGGGUUGUAAAGCACUUUCAGUGGGGAAGAAAUCCUUGGGGCUAAUACCCUCGAGGAAGGACAUCACCCACAGAAGAAGCACCGGCUAACUCCGUGCCAGCAGCCGCGGUAAUACGGAGGGUGCGAGCGUUAAUCGGAAUUACUGGGCGUAAAGCGCGCGUAGGCGGUCUGAUAAGCCGGUUGUGAAAGCCCCGGGCUCAACCUGGGAACGGCAUCCGGAACUGUCAGGCUAGAGGGCAGGAGAGGAAGGUAGAAUUCCCGGUGUAGCGGUGAAAUGCGUAGAGAUCGGGAGGAAUACCAGUGGCGAAGGCGGCCUUCUGGACUGACACUGACGCUGAGGUGCGAAAGCGUUGGUAGCAAACAGGAUUAGAUACCCCUGUAGUC
rnacentral:rRNA from 1 species